AACUGGAACAACUCCACCUGUACGUGUCUCUGGACUAACUGGAACAACUCCACCUGUACAUGUCUCUGGACUACCUGGAACAACUCCACAUGUACAAUCUGGACUAACUGGAACAACUCCACAUGUACAUGUCUCUGGACUACCUGGAACAGCUCCACAUGUACAUGUCUCUGGACAAACUGGAACAACUCCACAUGUACAAUCUGGACUAACUGGAGCAACUCCACCUGUACAUGUCUCUGGACUAACUGGAGCAACUCCACCUGUACAUGUCUCUGGACUACCUGGAACAACUCCACCUGUAUGUUUUUCUGGACUACCUGGAACAACUCCACCUGUACAUCUCUCUGGACUACCUGGAACAGCUCCACCUGUACGUGUCUCUGGACUAACUGGAACACCUCCACCUGUACAUGUCUCUGGACUACCUGGAACAACUCCACAUGCACAAUCUGGACUAACUGGAACAACUCCACCUGUACAUGUCUCUGGACUACCUGGAACAGCUCCACAUGUACAUGUCUCUGGACUAACUGGAACAACUCCACAUGUACAAUCUGGACUAACUGGAACAACUCCACCUGUACAUGUCUCUGGACUACCUGGAACAGCUCCACAUGUACAUGUCUCUGGACAAACUGGAACAACUCCACAUGUACAAUCUGGACUAACUGGAGCAACUCCACCUGUACAUGUCUCUGGACUAACUGGAGCAACUCCACCUGUACAUGUCUCUGGACUACCUGGAACAACUCCACCUGUACAUGUCUCUGGACUACCUGGAACAACUCCACCUGUACAUGGCGCUAGAAUAACUGGUUUAACUGGACUAACUCGAACAACCCCACCUUCAUAUGGCUUUGGUUUAACCAUAAUAACGCUUUAUAUAAAGCUUGGGUCCAAGUGUUGUUGUCACUCUGUCUGUAUAUGGCUCAGGUGUUUAUUUUAAAGUUACAUUUUAAAGAGAUGGCACAAAAAUUGUGAAUAUAUUCAUCAUUUCUAGGCUCUCUGUAUAGACUUUGUCUUAAAGAAACAGUAAGACACUUUGGAGGAGCUGUGGAACCCAGGAACUGUUAGCCUUACUCAAUGUCUUGGUCGCUCUGGGCUUCCGUACUUCAGAGAAUUUGACGUCAGUUUGUAUUUCAGCUUAUUUACUUAUUUUAAUGUUAACAUAAGAUUUGUUGUAAAACAGUAAUCACUAGAAAUUGUGAUGAAUAGUUUGUGAUGACACAAACAUCUGCUGUCCUGAGUUCAAGUGACCUCUACGGAUCUUUAAUGUGGCUUCUAUCUCCGUUUUUGUUCAUUAUUUUCAAGAGAUGCUCCAAUAAACUAUUAAUAUACCAAACUGUUGGCAACUAUGGCAAUGAACCACAACUCACACACAUCCAUCCAGACAGGUGCUAUGCAUCACAACAAACCACAGAUAUAAACAGAAAGUAAUGUCACUCUGUUUCAUGGUUCCAGCCGUGUCUGCCGAUGUCACCAUUCUGAUUUCAUCCAAUUUGCUUGUGGACGCAGAAAUCCCCUCUACUACACUAGCCACAUAGCAUGCCACCACACUAUGUGUGUCUGUCUCUGUGCACAUGCCUGCCAGUGGACUGCGUGACAGGGUGUCGGCAACUCUGCCACUGGGUUGAAUCUCAUGAGCCUCAUGAGGAGACGCUGACAUCGUAUAGGUACAUUGUCCAGGCUGUGGCUAUUGAUGAGGGGCACUAGCGGCUUGUGGUCGGUGAUUAGCUUUGAACUGCUUCAGCCCAUUGAGGUAUCGGUCGAAUUUCUCGCACGCCCACACAGCAGCCAAACCUUUCUCUAUUUGGGCGUAGCGCGUUUCUGCUUGAGUGAGGCGUCUGGAGCAAUAUGCCACCGGUUUCCACUGCACCCCGUGGAGCUGAAGGAGUACACCCCCCAAUCCAUAACUACUUGCAUCCGCUGACACCGCCGUGGGCUUGCUCAAGUCAUAGAAAGUAAGUACUGGUGCAGUUGUCAACAGCCUUUUGAUAUGUUUAAAACCUGUUUGCCGUGUAUGGCUCCAUGUCCAUGUAUUCUUAUCCCACAGGGAGCUCGUACAGCGGCUGUCCCACCGUUGAGAGUUCGGGGACGUAUCUUCCGAGAUAAUUUACCAUUCCCUGUAUCCUUCUUAACUCUCUGCUGGUGGUGACAGCUGCCGAAUAGCUUCCACUUCGUCGGGGUCAGGUAAGAUCCCGGAGCAGUCAAUAAGAUGCCCGAGGAACCGCAGCUGACUCUGCCUGAUGGAGCACUUCUCGAGAUUAAGCUUCAGACCAGCUGUCUUUAUGCGCUGCAUUACCUUCUCCGGGCGACCGUCAUGCUCCUUCUCUGUGGCCCCAUAGACCAGGAUGUCAUCCAUGAAGAUCUCAACAUCCUUCAGCCCCUGGAGGGUCUCCAUCAUCUUCCUCUGGAAGAUUUCCGGUGCGCUCGUUAUCCUCUGGAGUUCCUCCUCUCCCUUUUGCAGCAUAGGGAGGGGUACGGGUCGUGUUGUAUAUACAGCGUACGGCUGAGCGUCGUACUCACCAUAGGCUCACCAUCGAUUCUCCUCAACACAUUCAUUUCCACAGACGGCCUGUUGAGAAGGUCAUUUACAGUAUGUCCACGGAUGACAUAUGCUGUGAGUGGGUGAGUCUUUCCUUUGUAGGUCACAGUGCUCCGGACCUGUCCUAUGCACUGCAGUUCACCGCCUGGGCUGUCGAAUGGCAUAUCUGCAGGCUCCAGUGGUCUUUUGGGGAAAAGUGAGGGGUAAGACUCUUCAUGGAUGAUGCUAACAUCCGCCCUUGUGUCAAUUUGAAGUCAAUUGGUGUAGAGCCCACCAUUACAUCACAUCACAUGUCAUUUAUCUGACGCUUUUAUCCAAAGCGACUUACAAUAAGUGCAUUUCAACCAUAAGGACACAAACUCAGAACAAGAAGAACAAGAAACAAGAAAGUGCAAUUUCCUCAAAUAAGUCAAUUUACAAUUUGCUACAGAUAAGUGGCGUUACAAGUACAAUUUAGGUGCUACGACAAAGUCAACUACCAGCAACUCCACCAGCAACUGGACAGCCCAUUGCUCUGGUGACCUGAAGAAAGUAUGAUUGCUGCUGCUCUGUUUGCUCUGUCACCUCACUCACUGCCCUACUGCUCCUAUACACUCUGUGUCCAACUUUGUUGCAUGUAUUGCAUGUGGAUUUUCUGGCUGGACAAUUUUCGUCUUUACUGUGCCACGCUUUCCCACACUGUUCACAUUGUCCUUUAUUUCCCUCUUUUGGCUUACCGUAGUGGUGGUGGUCUUUGCUGCGCUCGUGGGCGACUUCCUGUGUCAAUCCCGAUGUCUCUCCUUGCGUGCUGACUUGCGAAGCGACCUCCUCCGACUGCCUGACCGUCUCUAUGUCAGCGCUGGCGUCAGGUCCUUCGUCAGCUGUGACUUCCGUGAGACGUCUUUGUUGAUACCGCCAGCGACGCGGUCGCGGAUAUUUUCGUCUCUGCUCGCGCCAAACUCACACUGCUCCGCCAGCUCGUACAAGGCCCUGAUAUACGUCUCCGCUUUCUCUCCCGGUCUUUGCACACCCAGAUGGAAACAUGCACAUUCGUGUACUACAUUCCUACUCGGUACAAAGUAUUCAUCGAACUUUCCAAGCGCGAUAGCAAAGUCGUCUCUAUGUCCGUGGCAAAAGAUGUUCUCCGACUCGCUUCCCAUAGCGUAUAUCAGGCUGCUGACCUGCACGGCGCCAUCCUCUUUGUCCAGCUUGGUCCUAAACCUCACAAAACGCUGCUUCCACUCCGGCCAUUCUCCGGAGCUUAUUGAAGAAGACGUUUGUUGGUGGAUUGAACUUCGCCAUGACUCCGCUUUUACUUCUGACACCGUGUAAAUUAAUGGAGGCUUCGUUGUUAGCUGUACUGGUUUGUGAUGCAUCACCGAGUGUGUCACUUUACAGGCACAACAUGACUCCCCUACAUCCCAUAGCAUGUGUGUAGCAGGUGGCACCAUGGGGUGGCACUCUGAAUUCAAGGCUUUGUCCCUAUAAAAGAGGAAGUGGCACUUUGUGAGGGAAUGCGUGGGAGUGUUGCUGGACCCACAGCAGUGUGAUCGGGUAAAUAUGCUUCUACGUUGCUUUUUCAUAUAUACCGGUUGCAUAUUUUAAAGGACUUUGCAUGGCAGGAUCGGGAUGAGAGCCGCUGAUCCAAGCAGAGAAUGAAUGAAUGACUGGAUAGGGGAGUUCGACAGGUAUAUUGUACUUUUAAGUAUGAAUUAAAAUUCUUUGCUGUUGGUACUUUUGUAUUCUUGUGUUGCGGUAAUCAUCCCGCUACCUGCUGUCCUUUAUUAGUUUUGAUUUUGUUUUCCGUAGUUAGUCCGUUCCUGGUGCAUUGUAUUUUGUUCCCUGUAUGAUACAGAUGUAAUUCAAUUCAAUUCAUUCAAUUCAAUUCAAUUCAUUUUAUUUUGUGUAGCUCAAAAUCGCAAUAUACAAAUUUGCCUCGGAGGGCUUUACAGUCUGUACACAUACGACAUCCUCUGUCCCGAAACCCUCACAUGUCACAGGAAAAACUCCCCAAACAAUGAAGACCCUUCCAAGAGGGAAAAAAGGGAAGAAACGUCAGGGAGAACGUCAGAGGAGGAUCCGUCUCCUGAUGGACGACUACAAUGAUGUCAUGUGUACAGAAUGAACAAUGAAUGAGACUAUAUGACAGAAAUGAUUCAAGUAACUGUGAGUAGUAAACCAGACGCACAGCAGGACCACUGCAGGGACCACCACCAUCACAUAGAACCACCAUCAGAUAGAACCACCAUCAGAUAGAACCACCAUCAGAUAGAACCACCAUCACAUAGAACCACCAUCAGAUAGAACCACCAUCACAAAGAACCACCAUCACAGAACCACCAUCACAUAGAACCACCAUCCACAUAGAACCACCAUCACAUAGGACCACCAUCCCAUAGAACCACCAUCAGAUAGAACCACCAUCAGAUAGAACCACCAUCACAUAGAACCACCAUCACAGAACCACCAUCACAUAGAACCACCAUCGCACAUAGAACCACCAUCCACAUAGAACCACCAUCACAUAGGAACCACCAUCACAUAGGACCACCAUCAGAUAGAACCACCAUCACAUAGAACCACCAUCACAUAGAACCACCAUCACAUAGAACCACCAUCCACAGAAGCCUGUGGGGAGGGAGAGCACAGAGACUUUAGGAGAGGGUAAUGUUGGUUUACGAGUACAGUAAUAUGAUUAAUAUCUAAAAUAAUAAUGAUGAUGAUGAUGAUGGCAGCAGCAGGCGUCAGCAGGGCCACGGCAGGUGUCAGGACCAGGGUCCCGAAGGAACUACGGAGACCUGCUAGGGGAGAAAGCACAAUUAGUCAUGUGCAUUAAUAAAAAGUAAAUUAUUGUAGAACGAGAGCGUGAGAGGAGCUCGGUGUGUCCUAAGAAGUCCCCCGGCAGUCUAAGCCUAUAGCAGCUUAACUAAGGGCUGGUCCGGGCUGACCUGAGCCAGCCCUAACUAUAGGCACAAUCAAAGAGGAACGUUUUAAGUUUUACUUUAAAAGAGCUGACCGAAUCCGCCCCCCGGACUGAAAGUAGAACCUGGUUCCACAAAAGAGGAGCGUGAUAACUGAAGGCUCUGGCCCCCAGCCUACUGUUUAAAACCACAGGAACAACAAGUAACCAGCAUCUAUGGAGCGCAGCUGCCUUGUAGGGAAAUAAUGUGUUACAAGCUCUUUAAGACAGAUAGAUGUAAGAGCGGACUAACUACUUUCAUUUUUGUUUGUUUGUCAUUUGGUCACUUUCCCUACAUUUCGCGGUACUUUCUGCAGUGCUCUGGGUAGACAACCUGAUCUUGUGUGAACUAACCGGUUGGUCGGCUUUGCAGUGCUCUGCCGUGUACACAGUUGUGCAGUGCUGUGUGAUUUAAGCGGGUUUGGCCGCCAUGUGCUGCAUGGAUCAUUCAGGUGUCGCUCAGAGCUUGUAAUGUGUCAGAGUUUAUGUUAAACUUGCAUUUAAUAAAUGUUGUUAAACUUUAUUUGCUUCCGUUUCUUAUAUCCAAGUUAACAUAAACUACCGUAUAUGACAGAGACCAAAACCUUUUGAUCCGAGACCAAAAGUUUUUGUUUUGCAGGCAAAAACAAUCGUUUUAUAAGCAAAACUAACAAAAUAUUUUACUUUAUAUUUUUACAAACUUUAUUUUUGUUUGCAUAAUAAAGACACAAAUCUACCCUCAUAUGAUUGGACCGAGAAGACGGUGACGCAGAUGGAGCAUUAUUCUGAAACUGAUGUGAUCGAAUUCGUUGUUUUCUUUUAUUCUGAAAGUUCUCCCCGGAUGUUUUCGUUUUGUACUUCCGUUUUGACACUGGUCGAUCGGAUGUCAGUAUAAUUUUUAACAUGGUGUAGCAAACCGGGAAUUAACUGGGUUCAACCGGGUUUAACCGGGUUACCGGGCAGCGGCUUUUGGCGGGCAAUGGAGACCUUUAGCAGGUUGAGCAGUAUGCUGCUGCACGCGCUGGAGACGGUGAGUUAGUGGCUAGCUGACUUUAGCUCACCUAGCAUCUGUUAGCUCACUUAGCCCACCUAGCCUCUAUCAGAUCACGCAGCCUCUGUAUAAAGGUAGUUUUAGUUAAACACAAACUCAAGCUAAGUUAGGAGCCAACAGCUAAAGCUAGCUUGUCCAGGUGUUCUCUGUCUACCUGCAGCAGCGGUGUGGACGUGGAGGAAUGUGUCCCACUUCCGUCUCUUUACCGUCUGUCUGUCUGUCUGUCAGCGGGAGCCCACAGUCGACCUGUUGGAGUCCUUUGUGAAUCAUUGGAAAUCGAUAACUAAUUAUUACAUCAACAACAC
ensembl:lncRNA